rnacentral:rRNA from 1 species
AUUGAACGCUGGCGGCAUGCCUAACACAUGCAAGUCGAACGGUAACGCGGAGAGCUUGCUCUCUGGCGACGAGUGGCGGACGGGUGAGUAAUACUUAGGAAUCUGCCCAGUAGUGGGGGACAACUCGGGGAAACUCGAGCUAAUACCGCAUACGCCCUACGGGGGAAAGCGGGGGAUCUUCGGACCUCGCGCUAUUGGAUGAGCCUAAGUCGGAUUAGCUUGUUGGUGGGGUAACGGCCUACCAAGGCGACGAUCCGUAGCUGGUCUGAGAGGACGAUCAGCCACACUGGGACUGAGACACGGCCCAGACUCCUACGGGAGGCAGCAGUGGGGAAUAUUGGACAAUGGGGGCAACCCUGAUCCAGCAAUGCCGCGUGUGUGAAGAAGGCCUGCGGGUUGUAAAGCACUUUCAGUAGAGAAGAAAAGCUUAAGGUUAAUACCCUUGAGUCUUGACGUAACCUACAGAAGAAGCACCGGCUAACUCCGUG